AAAAUCAACAUGUCUAUGGUAGUAAUCUCUAAGAUUAUUACAUAGUUGAUUGAUUAAGUUUAUCUCGAUACUCUCAAUGAUCCUGUAUCACCACAGAUGUCAUAUAUCCCGGUCCUGUUGGCUUAGAAUAUGUCCUAAAUACUUAACAUAAGUCUACCAUUAUUAAAGUUAUUCUUGCUAACUGUAUAACCUUAUUCAACAACAAAGUAUAAUAAUAUUAUUGUAUCAAUUUCACAGCCUUGUUGUGUUACAUUUCUUACACUGCUGACUACCUAAGGGAAAAUAAAACUUAGCUAGGUUACUAAACAUUACUUAAGCCAAAAUAGUGGGAGUUUUAAAAUAACCUUAUGGCAAUUUUUUAUAAACCCACCAUUGCCCCAUUUCUAACACGUAAUUAUCCAUGAGAGUAAUGUAUAAAAAAUACUACUACUGGUCAAAAGAUAAAAACAAUUUUAAAAUAACAUAAUCAGACCAAAACCACUACUCUGAAAAACUCCACAAAGAAACAAUAUUUUACUCUUAUUGUGCUAGGAAAAUAAACUUAAGGAAGCCUACCCUUAGUCAAAGGCUAUGCCCUUACUUUCUUCUCCUUGGUGCAAAUUACAAAUAUGUCUAAGAACUUUAAACUCAAUCAUAAAUAUCACCUACACAAAUUACCUUAAAUCAGUAUUACAAAUUACCUUAAAUUCAUUAUCCAAAUGGCUUUCCAAUAAGGCUGAUCAAACCACCAAGGAAAGCCAUGAUAGAGGUCAUAAGUCAAAGCACCCCUUCAAAGAAGUGUUUCUUACUAUAUUAGAAAAACCGUCAAACAUUUUCAACAUGUUGUAUCCCAGGUUCCCAGAGCAUUUCUCUAUCAAAAGAAUUCACGUGUUUAAUUAAAACUCAGAAAGAAAAAAAAAUUCCAUGUGUGUGCGUACCCCUUUAAGAUAUCGUGGCUCUAGGAAAAAUGGAAAUCUCCUUUAAGAUAUCGUGCCACUCCUGUCUUUACAGAGUCUGAAGUUCCAAUGUAUGCAGAUGAUACAUUGGUAAAUACAUGCAAAUAGUAAACAACAAACUACACAAGACCUCACUAAAAAGAAAACAACUGAUGCCCCUGAGACAGAUGUCUACGAUUUUAAGUACCACGGCAUCAUACUUGAUUCCAACCUCUCUUUUAAAAAGCAAGCGAAAAAUGUAACUCAAAUAACCAAAUUCAACCUAGCUAACUUACAAAACAUAUGAAAUUGUUUGACUACAGAGGUAAUGAACUGUACUUCAAAUCUAUGAUACUCCCCUUCCUUAAAAUAACAACUGACUAGUUUGGCCCAAGCUUGCUUUACAACAUUAAACCCCAUUCAGUCUUUCUGCAAACAGGCUCUCAAAGUGGUUGAUAGGAAGCCCGAUAGCUAUAAUUACUGUUACAUUCUCAGAAAGCAUGAUCUCCUGCAUUGGAAAAAAUCUUGUGCAAUACACUGACACAUGUCUUGUAUUCAAGAUUCUAAAUGUCCAGGCUCCCCCUCCACUCAGUAAUGACCGGACAUUGUUCCACGUAAUGGAAACAGAUUAUAAUGUUAGAAUACAUUAAACUUCCUACUCAAAUUCACCAAGCACGAUCAUCAGAAACUUAACUUUUCCUUAUUCACACCUGAAUCCCUUACAGCCCAACAUAGCCCAGUGCGCACACCCAACUCUCCUAUUCUUACCAGUAGGCAAAAAUAUACCUCUCAUCCCCGGUUAAUUCCAGGACCUCCUUUGAGGAUUUACCACCCAUAUUAUUCAAUUACGUUCCUUGUUAUUAUGCUUAUUCUCACAUUCUAUGUGUGUGCAUUUACUGUUUUUAUACAUAAAUCUUACAAUCUAUGUGUGUGCUCUUAUUCUCAUAUGUAUUUAAUAGUCCCAGACUACUUCCCAUAUAUUUGUACUUAUCCCAGACUACUUCCCAUAUACAUGUAAGUGUCCCAGACUAUUUUGAUACAGGGUAGUUUAUUUUGGUAAUGGCCCCAACUACCUUGAAUCAUUGCGGACUAAAUUUCGUUCAAUACUCAGCCCCCCGUUUGAUAUUUAUCUAGACACUUUGUUACUUUUGAACUUUCUCUAUAUAAACUUCUAAAACAAAAAGGUAUACUGAAUAUGAAUCCUCCUGGACUUUUGUGAUUAUCACCUUACCUACACAAGAUUUAUAACAAUGUAUACAAUGUCUAAUGCAAGUUUAGAUUCUUCCCCCAAAAAUCUAUGAAUAAAGACUACUGACCUUAUUCUUGCAGCUGAGAAUUCAAUUUUGGUUGGAACUUGUCACCGUUUCUGUCACGCACCAGUUUGCCACCGGCCUGUAAAGAACCCUCAUAAAGGGGCCAGGUCUUUAAUCUACGGAUAUUUAAUCCGCCUGUGCACGGUUUCGGUGUCUCCAUGGAGUGACAGAAAAAGAUAUUGAAAUCCGGCUCGAAAGGACCAAGCUGUCACGAGAAUUUUCAAUCCCAAUGAUAUUAACUAACAAUCAAUAAGCUUGGACCAAUCCCGAGGGUUGUAAGACCCUGGGUUUAAUAAUAAUUAGGCAAAGACUCAGCUUAUGCAAAAGGUUUGUUGUAGUUUAUUCAUGAGAGCUCUAAAAACUAUAUAACUCCUACAAGCACCUACAAGUCUACAAGCACAUCUGUUCCUCCCUGGGUGGAGGAACUUUAUCUUCUGUCCUUGGUCUCACAGUUCCUCUUUAUCACACAUAAACACAAUGUUCCCACUGUCUCACAAUAUUCUAGUAUUAUGUCUAAAAACAUUGUCUAAGCUUAGGAUCGGGCUGAAUUACUGCCCCCUUUGGAGGAAGUGCGUGCCCAUAGUAAACAGAAUUUAUUUUUGUCCAAAAUUGCUAAUAUAUGCAUAUAAUAAUUAUUAUUGAAUAGAAAACACUCUAAAGUUUCUAAAACCGUUUAAAUUAUGUCUGUAUGUAAAGCAGAACUCUCAGGGCAGCCAUUCUCCCAAACUCUCUCUUGGCAACAGAAAAGUUGGGACAACUUUCACGUCAUCGCCCCCACCCUUCCCAACCAGCUACGGAUCUGGGAACAGUUUCUAUGUGUUCAGCGCGAUGUCUGCUUUCAAAUGGGGCGUUCAUUGUGAGAAUCUCGCGCGCCCUUGUCCUUUGGCGGGCUAAAACGUUCGGGUCACGCGAAAAUACAUGCACUCUAUUGCGCGCGUCUGAAUUGGAGCUCUCUUUUUCCAUGAAACACCAAUCGAUGUCGGUUUGUCUGUUCGAGCUGAUAAUUGUUUUACACGUUUAAAAGAUCCUAAAGCUUGAUUCUGCACUUAGUUUGACCAGUUUAGUCGACAUAUAAUAUGUAAUUUUUAAGUUUUGUUGCGCAAGAGUGCGGGACCAGAAGUCAUUUUGGGUGCAUUUCAGCUGAAGCUGUUAGCAUAUGCUAAUACAGAGACACACAACUUGAAACCAAACGAUGUAUUGGGUAAGUAUAACUCCUUCCACGUCUUCUGAUUGAAGAACAUCAAAGGUAAGGGAAUAUUUAUGUGGUUAAUUUUGGGUUUCUGUGGACUCGUAGAGGAGAUAUACUGCUAAUAUCUGAGCGCCGUCUCAUAUUAUAGCCUAGUGAACGAAUUCUGUAACGUUAAAAAUAAAUGUAACACAGCGGUUGCAUUAAGAAGAAGUGUAUCUUUGUAACUAUAUGUAGAACAUGUAUAUUUAGUCAUGUGUAUUGCUUGUUAUCUGACGUUAUCUGUCGGAGCUAUCAUCAUUUCUCCGGACAUUUGAGUAUCAUUUUUUGAAAAUGUCGUCAUUGUAAACAGAGAUUUAUGGAUAUAAAUGGCAUAUUAUUGAAAAAAACAUAAAUGUACUGUGUAACAUGUCCUAUUACUGUCAUCUGAUGAAGAUUUUCAAAAUGUUAGUGAAUGAUUUAUUUUUUAAUCCUGCUUUUAUAAUUUUAUAUUUUCUGGGACAAAAUGGCUGCCUCUUGUCUUUGUUUCGGUGGUGGUCUAAUAUAAAUAUGUGGUAUGUUUUCGCCGUAAAACAUUUUAGAAAUCUGACUUGCUGGGUAGAUGAACAAGGUGUUUAUCUUUCAUUUGAGCUAUUGGACUUGUUAAUGUGUGGAGGUUAAAUAUUUCUAAGAAUAUUUUUUGCAUUUUGCGUUAUGGUAAUGAGCUUGAGCCUGUAGUCACGAUCCCGGAUCCGGGAUGGCUAGUUUCAAGAGGUUUGUCAUUCAGAUUCUCUUAUUAUUAGUUUAAACAUAUAAAUUCCCUUAUCACUUGUUUUGUAUUCGUUCGUUUUCAUUAAACUCACACUGCACUUGCUUCUAGACUCCUUGUGUCUACGUUACAGAUACAAACUAUUUUCAAAUGAAUCUUGUCUUUACUAAUAUGUAAAAUUUGUUUUGAUUUAGAAUGGCCUAUUAUCAAAUGGACAGUAACAGGGGCAAUUGUUUAAAAUAUACAUGUCAACGGUGUGUACCACAUAUCAACGGAAUAGACCACUUUCCCGCCAGUUAAUUUCGCUUCACUCAUGUCGGGUAGGCAACUUCACCCAAACUCUGUAUGCCAUGGGCUCUCCAACCCUGUUCUUGCAGCUACUUGGUGCUUAAUUUGGGAAACCAACUGAAAUCUGUUCGGGAACAUCGAUAGUAACAUGUUUUCACAGCGACACAUAGUUCAUUAAACUUGACAGCCCCAGGGGAGGAGAUGGAAACUCACCGUGGUGAAAUAUUCUGUAGCUAAAGGUAAUGUACUGUCCAUUUUGUUGUUAGGCUUUGAAACAACAUCCACAACUACCAUGUUUCCACUCUUCUUUCUUCAAAUUGAUCAAUCGCAAUCAGAUCACAUCUUUUGGACUGGCUGGAGGAAUGACCACCAAGGAGAAUGUGUGGAGAAUACUAACAAAACUCCUGACAAAUGCCCUGGCCAUGAAGAGGAACUGGAGAGGGGCCAAUGGGAUGCAGGCAUUCCAACCGCUCACCCUGUAAGGCGUAGUUCUCAGUGCUAUCUGGCGAAACCACCAUAGAACCAAAGCUUCUGAUGGUGAAAUUGAGAAAUACAUCAAGAGGUGGAUGCAGCUGGCCUCUGACUGAGACGAAGGGAGAAAGAAGAGAACGCGACUGAGGGGAGAAGAAGACCAGAGCGGAGUAGAGGAGUGAUGUCACUACACCCUUCACUAUGCCCUACCCACUAAGCACAAUAACAAGGGAAUGCUGUUACCAUAACAAAACCAAUUUCGCUAAGAGGAAAUCUUGGUCCGUUUUAUUUUUACUAUGCAAUGGGUGCUAAAAUAAAUGCUUUUUAUCUUUUACAUGUUUUUUGUUGUUGAAGUAUGAUGUUUUUACACAGUUGCAACUUUAUUUGGUCCUUAUAAGCCUAUGCUGUCUUUGCCUACGAUGCAAUUGUCACCACUGAAAACCUUCAUGCAGAAUUUGGCUAGAUAUGCACUACAUAUACAAAAGUAUGUGGACAGCCAUUAAAAUUAGUAGAUCCCUGCCCCGCUCCCUGCCCCAAUGCAUAGUGCCAACUGUAAAGUUUGGUAGAGGAGGAAUAAUGGUCUGGGGCUGUUGUUCAUGGUCCGGGCUAGGCCGCUUAGUUCCAGUAAAGGGAAAUCAUAAUGUACAGCAUAGAAUUACAUUCUAGACAAUUAUGUGCUCCAACUUUGUGGCAACAGUUUGGGGAAGGGCCUUUCUUGUUUCAACAUGACAAUGCUCCUGUGCACAAAUCAAGGUCCAUAUAGAAAUGGUUUGCUGAGAUCGCUGCGGAAGAACUUGAAUGGCCUGCACAGAGCCAUGACCUCAACCCCAUCACUGUGGAAGAACUUGAUUGGCCUGCAUAGAGCCCUGACCUCAACUCCCACUAACACUCUUGUGGCUGAAUGGAAGCAAGUCCACACAGCAAUAUUGCAACUUCUAGUGGAAAGCCUUCCCAGAAGAGUGGAGGCAGUUAUGGCAGCAAAGGGGGGACCAACUCCAUAUUAUUGCCCAUGAUUUUGGAAUGAGAUGUUCGAUGAGCAGGUGUCCACAUUCUUUUGGUCAUGUAGUGUAUUUUCUUAUAUUCACUGACUGGACAUAUGACAUGUUGUGGAAUAGGACCGUCAUUGUGAGAUUUUUUUCAUAAGGUACUUUACUACAACCAUCAAAGGUUGCUUGUUCAAACCCUGACAUCCGUCUUAUAACUACCUAAGCAGUUUUCAAAAAGAAAACCCUGAGACAGUCAUCACUUAGAUGUAUGAGGCCAUGCACAUUAUUCACCAAAUUCUCUGUACCAUAAAACUGGCCAAAAUGCUCUACAAAAGACACUGUUACAAUUAUGUUGAAAAACUGCAGCUUCCAUGGCCCCACAGCAAAGUUGAUAUAGCAGUGAACGUUCAUAAUUUUUUAAACCACCACCAGAGAGAGAUUGAUGUCAAUGGUAUUGGUGUUAAGUUUUUAGUUUUUAGUUGAAGUCACAGGCCAUGCUGGAGACUGUAGUUUAUAUUUUGGGCUCUACUCCCUACUCCCUAUGGGAUUUUUAAAAUGAAAUGUGAUAUCUUUCCUGUUAAAAUAAAAAUAAUAAAAUAUCAUUCUGAGCAAUGAGUAAAUGUCUACUUGUUCAUUGUUUAAGGUUGUGACAGCUGUUUGUAUUUUGAUAUAGCAUAAUGCAACUGAAGUGAAAAAUAUUAUGGGGGUGGAUGGGU
ensembl:lncRNA